CCCUUAGAUGUUCUGGGCUGCACGCGCGCUACGCUGAUGCGAUCAACAAGUUUUUCCUAUGUCGAUAGACACGGGUAAUCUUUUGAACUCGCAUCGUGAUGGGGAUAGAUUAUUGUAAUUAUUAAUCUUCAACGAGGAAUUCCUAGUAGGUGCAAAUCAUCAGUUUGCAUCGAUUACGUCCCUGCCCUUUGUACACACCGCCCGUCGCUGCUACCGAUUGGUUGAUCUGGUGAAUUAUUCGGACUGCCGGCUGAAGGGGUUUCCUCAUCUGCCAGCGGAAAGUCUUGUUAACCCUAUCAACUAGAGGAAGCAGAAGUCGUAACA
rnacentral:rRNA from 1 species